AAGAAGAGGAGAUGAGGACACAGACACACACAGAGAGAGGACCCUGUGAGGAUGCAGGGAGAAGACAUCAUCUACAAGCCCAGGAGAGGGACCUCAGGAGGCACCAUCCCUGCUGACACCUUGAUCUCAGUCCUCUAGCUUCUAGAACUUAUUUUGUCAUGGCGGCCCUAGAAAACUACUACAUUGACUGUGAGGGUUAAGAUGACACCAAGCAUCAAAUGCCACUCCCCGUUCCAACACUGAGACCAUUCCACAGCCUCUGAAUGACAAGACAGGCCUUCAAAAUCAAGACUACCUGGCUAGGAGGCCGGAAGAACUUGCCUGGCAAUUAUGAGGGGAUGGAGGAACUGCCUAUCCCUGUCCCAUUGUCCUGUCCACAGGUCAGCCUCACAAAGGGAAAGAGCCCUGGAUGGGAAUACAGUGGAAACUCAUUCUCUUAGUGACCUGGGGUCAUUGGCUCAAGAUGAAGCCUAGCAGGAGUGGCAACUCCAGGUGAAAAGCUUGAUGAAGGAUUUUAAGGACUUCCCGUUGGCUGAAGGCUGGCAAACGGAGUUUGCCAUCCUCUGACUACAGCCAUUCUGAGGACUGGAAAGGAUACCCUGAGAAGUGGCCUAUUUUAUUUCUGCAGGAAGGUACUGAGGUUUAAUUUAUCUUAUGGAGUCUUCCUAGAUUAGAAGGCUUUGAGGUGUGUUGAUGCCUUGCCAGUGACUUAGCUGCCUGAUCAGCGAACCUAUUUCCUUUGGCUACUUCAUCUGUUCCCUUUUUGAUGUUCCCUAUAAUGUAUCACUGCUAUUUCUCAUGAAAGAAAACUGAUGAUAAUAACCUGUUAAUUUUUUGGUGAUAUUUUAUAGGAAGUCCAUUAGUGGUAAGAAAAUGCCUUUUAUUUUAAAUGGCAGCAUGAGCAUGAAGAACUCAAAAAGCAUACUUGGAAUCAGUGUAAAUGUUAGCUACCUUUCUCUUGCUUAAUUUAAGUGCUCUUGUAUUAACUGUUUGUUUAGCUGAUUGAGCACCUGCACCUGAAGAGAGAUGUUAUUUAGAGUGACUACUGCUUAUCCUACCUUACGUAUUUCUUGCUUUACCAGCUGAUCGUUAGCUAAGAGCUCCCUCUAGAGGACAGUAAUUUUGCCACAUUAAGUGGGGGUGUAAACCGUUUUUUCCUAGGGUUAAUUUGGAGGCUUUUCUGAUUAGUAGAGCUAUUGUGACAGUGGUUUGGAAGCAGAUGUAAAAAAUAGGUCCUCCUAACUGCAAAUAAGAGGUUGAGAAAAAUAUUGGAUUAGAAUUUUUCCUGAGACACCCCUUAUGGUUGUGCUAUGGGAAGAGGGGAGGCCUGGAUAAGAAAGGAGAAAAGAGAGAGACUGGAUCUAGUGUUUAGAAGGAGGUCUACUUUCCUUCCUAUAAUUUCCAGAAUCACCUGUGUCUCCUGUGCUGUAAUGGCAGUUUGAGCUGCUGGAGUCAGGGGUUUGAGCCCCAGGACCCAUCAGUCCUGCUGGACCACUGUGAGACUGGUUCUGAACCCAGUGACCUCCAUCUCUGGGAGCAGUUGCAUCUCCAGUGGUCUCCACCACAGGCUGGACAGGGUCAAGGUGGCUUCCUCUUGCUGUUUGGACACUUCUUCCUCAAAUGCCCUGGCUUGCCGCACCGAGAGCAACUAGUGGAUACACCUCUGGGAUCUUGGACUUUGCAACUCUGCAAAGCAGCUACUAGAGGCUUUGUCCUUCUCUUGAGCUUUCUCUCUUUCUUCUGGGCCUUCUCCUAGUCCCUGUUGUAAAAGACUGAAGUGGCUACCCUCGGAUGGUUUUCCAAGGUGCUAUCUGCUACGAUAGCUUGCCUUUUAUAGGUUCCUUCUAAUAUUGGGAGCUUUCUGUAUAAUAAACUUAUCUUUUAGAAUGGGCUGUCACUUGACUGAAUCAGGAGAUAAAAAGGUGUGUGCUAAUAGUGCCCCUCUCAACCUAUCCAUAAAGGCUGCAGGAUUCUCAUCUGGCUUUGAGUCUAUCAUAGACAGUUUAGAGGAAUUAAGAGGUCUGGCCUUAGUUUUUCUUUUCCAUUCAUCUACAGGGCUAUUGGGGUUUCAAUCAGGGUUGUCAAGAGGUACUGCUUCACUUCCUAUUUGGAAUGGUGUUUCUGCUAUUUCUUCACUUUCUGUAUCUCCUUCCUUCCCUUUUGGUGUAUUAUAGGAGAUAUGUUGCUCAUCUCCAAAAUUCUCUGCUGCUUGCAGAGCUGCCUGUUUUUCAGCAGUUAGGGUUUGGUUUAGGAGCAGUAUAACAUCCUUCCAUGUGAGGUGAAACACCUGACUUAAAUUCUGGAAAGCUUCUAUAUACCUGUCAGGAUUGUCUGAAAAUUGGCCUAAGUCUUACUUUAUUUGCCUAAGGUCCUGUAAUGAGAAGGGAACUUGGAGGGACCCCAAAUUAUGGAGAUUCUCAGAUGGUUCCCUUGGAAGUUGCUUUUCUAAUUCUAGGAGAUUAUUCUUUAUAAGCCUGCCUGAUAUGGCUGUUAAAAAAUCUGGGUUGCUGUUACAAUGCUUGUAAAGGUUUAGUAAAAAUGCCCUGUCAUUUUGCAAAAUAGAAUGAGUUGCUUUUCUCUUGAAAGUCCUGAGGUUAAAAGAGUUCUAGUGCCUCAGAGUGCACUCCAGAGGGGUGCAAGCUGAAGAUGCUCUGUUAGCCAUUGAGAAAAAGAAGUGAGAAUAAAAGUGUCCUUAUAGUCCCCCUUCUUUUAUUGUGACCCAGAGUGGAGUGGAAGACAGUGGGAGCGUCCCCCCAACUGUUUUCUCUCCUUGGUUCCUGAGUCCCGGCACCAUGUUAAAUGUGCUGCCCAUGGUUGUAGGUGUGGCCCUGUAAGCCAUGGAACUAGAUAAAUGAAGUGAUGGGAUUAGCCACACUUUACCCAUGCAACCUUAGCUUAUCUGCCUGUGAUCUGCCUGGCUUCCUGAAAAAUGGAUCUCUGGAGAAACUGUAACAGUUGCCUUUGAGCAAGCUUUCUUUAACAGAGGGAAUGUGCCAGUUGCCAGUUAUGGCACGUGCUAAAGCAUUUACCCUCAGAAAAGUGGUCCUGGUUAACUCUGUUCUUAAAGUAUCCUUACUAAUUAAAUACUGUUCUAAUUGGAGAUAGAAUAGGUACCUUAAAUGAAUGUAGGGACCUAAUGGCAGUUUUCCCUGCUGAUGCAGCAGUAUCAGAACUAAAAUUUGGCUAUGGAAGACAUUUUACUCCUAAUUGUUGAAAGCAAAGCUUUCCCAUUCACAGAAAGGGCUUUUCUAUCAGUGUAAAAAGAGAGAAUUGGAAAAGUACAGUGUUAUGGCAAAGGACCAACAAUGUGCCUCAUGAGGAGGAUUUCUAUUUCUACUAGGUGACAUUGUUGGCUUAGAAAUACCACGUGCUUACCAAAGGAAGGAGAGAGAGAGAGAGAGAGAGAGAGAGACCAAGACACCUAUUGGGUUAGUUAUUAUAGCGUUUACCGAUCUUUCCUAGCAGAACUGUUUCCCUGAACUGUAAAAACUUCCACAUAUUGCAUACACAGAAAGAAUAGGAGACAUAGAGACCAUGGAUAGAAAGGAAGAACAAAUUUGCAACAGGAUAGCAAAUUAGGAGACCCAUUACCAACAUCUGGAUGGGUUGCCCGAGGCUGUGUUCAGUCCAGAAGUCUUUGAAUAACAUCAGGGUGUGUCCUGGCCAGAAAUUCUCAGCUGUUCCAGGACAUCCCCCAGCCUCAUGUGAUGGUGAGGUUCUCCAUGAAAGGAAACUAGUUUGAAGAGAACCUUGAAAUUAAAGGACAGAUUUGAGGUUUGCUCCAUACUCAACAUUCUGAUGUUUCUAUCUUCUGUUCUGAUCACAAUCCCGGAUAAGAACUCCCAAAUAAAAUGACUCUGUUUGGGAAUCUAUCCAUGGUUCUUUGUCACACACUGAGAAAGAAUUCAGGACAUGGAAACACAUGAGGAGUGUGUUUAGGAUUGAAAAAUUUAGCAGACAAAAAAGAAGAGAGAGAGAAAAAGCUUUCUCAUACUGAGAAAGCAGUCACCCAAGAGAGGGUCUCCAGUUUGGGGUGGAAUGCAAUUGAUUUUGUACAGAGACUUAAGGAGGCAGUGAUUGAUUUACAUAGGGUCCAGGGGAUUGUUUUGACCAGGUGUUCCAUUUACAUAGCCUGAAAAAAGACUGGCCCUCCCACCCUAUUCUUUUAUUAUGCAAAUGUGGCUUCUACCUGGUGGUCACCAUGAAAUUAGGAGAUAUACCUAAUGUUAAAUGGCGAGUUAAUGGUUGCAGCACACCAACAUGGCACAUGUAUACAUAUGUAACUAACUUGCACGUUGUGCACAUGUACCCUAAAACUUAAAGUAUAAUUAAAAAAAUAAAACCCCAUGGUAAAUUUCUAUUAUUUUUGUGUUACCUUGGCAUCUCUUUUUAAUCUUCCUUGAACACACCAAAUUUUCUCUUGAAAAAGCUUAAGUUCUCUCUCUCUCUCUUUGCUUUGAGAUGUAAAUGUGCUACGUAUUUUCUCUAAAACUAGGUAAAGCCUUCCUCAGAUAAAUGUUAACCUUUACCAUUUACAAGCAAUUUGAAUCCAACUAUCCUUUAAAAUGGUGGGUUUUACUGAUCUCAUGCCUAAAGUCCUAAAAUCAAAAUUCUAAAAUCUUUUUGUCUCUCUCUAUCUUUAUGUGAACAUGUAUAUGUUAUAUGUUUCAUCACAUAUAUGUAUAUGUCACACGUUUAUAUACUGUUUACACAUAGUAUCAAAUUAAUGUAAAAAUAAAUGAGUACUCACAAAUUAAGUGAAUAAGCCCAAAUGCUUUUCUAUAUAUGUGAUUUUAGUAACCUUUGGUGAAUAUAGAUAGCUUUAAAAUUGUUGGUAAAAUAAAGUAGAAAUGUCUUCAUAA